AACCAUAGAAACCUGCGGAGUACCUGCGGAAGGAUCAUUACCGAGUUAUACAACUCAUCAACCCCUGUGAACUUACCUACAACGUUGCUUCGGCGGGAACAGACGGCCCCGUAAAACGGGCCGCCCCCGCCAGAGGACCCCUAACUCUGUUUUUAUAAUGUUUUUCUGAGUAAACAAGCAAAUAAAUUAAAACUUUCAGCAACGGAUCU
rnacentral:misc_RNA from 1 species